CCUACGGGAGGCAGCAGUGGGGAAUCUUGCGCAAUGGGCGAAAGCCUGACGCAGCCAUGCCGCGUGUAUGAUGAAGGUCUUAGGAUUGUAAAAUACUUUCACCGGUGAAGAUAAUGACUGUAGCCGGAGAAGAAGCCCCGGCUAACUUCGUGCCAGCAGCCGCGGUAAUACGAAGGGGGCUAGCGUUGCUCGGAAUUACUGGGCGUAAAGGGAGCGUAGGCGGACAUUUAAGUCAGAGGUGAAAUCCCGGAGCUUAACUUCGGAACUGCCUUUGAUACUGGGUGUCUUGAGUGUGAGAGAGGUAUGUGGAACUCCGAGUGUAGAGGUGAAAUUCGUAGAUAUUCGGAAGAACACCAGUGGCGAAGGCGACAUACUGGCUCAUUACUGACGCUGAGGCUCGAAAGCGUGGGGAGCAAACAGGAUUAGAUACCCUGGUAGUCCACGCCGUAAACGAUGAUUGCUAGUUGUCGGGAAGCUUGCUUCUCGGUGACGCAGCUAACGCAUUAAGCAAUCCGCCUGGGGAGUACGGUCGCAAGAUUAAAACUCAAAAGGAAUUGACGG
rnacentral:rRNA from 1 species